rnacentral:rRNA from 1 species
CAGCAGCCGCGGUAAUACGUAGGGUGCAAGCGUUAAUCGGAAUUAUUGGGCGUAAAGGGCUCGCAGGCGGUUUCUUAAGUCUGAUGUGAAAGCCCCCGGCUCAACCGGGGAGGGUCAUUGGAAACUGGGAAACUUGAGUGCAGAAGAGGAGAGUGGAAUUCCACGUGUAGCGGUGAAAUGCGUAGAGAUGUGGAGGAACACCAGUGGCGAAGGCGACUCUCUGGUCUGUAACUGACGCUGAGGAGCGAAAGCGUGGGGAGCGAACAGGAUUAGAUACCCCUGUAGUCCCUGUCUCUUAUAA